rnacentral:rRNA from 1 species
CUACGGAGGGUCCAAGCGUUAUCCGGAAUCAUAGGGUUUAAAGGGUCCGCAGGCGGUCAAUUAAGUCAGAGGUGAAAGCCCAUCGCUCAACGAUGGAACUGCCUUUGAUACUGGUUGACUUGAGUUAUACGGAAGUAGAUAGAAUAAGUAGUGUAGCGGUGAAAUGCAUAGAUAUUACUUAGAAUACCGAUUGCGAAGGCAGUCUACUACGUAUAUACUGACGCUGAGGGACGAAAGCGUGGGGAGCGAACAGGAUUAGAUACCCUAGUAGUCC